rnacentral:rRNA from 1 species
GAUGAACGCUGGCGGCGUGCUUAAUACAUGCAAGUCGAGCGAACAGACGAGGAGCUCGCUCCUCUGACGAUAGCGGCGGACGGGUGAGUAACACGUGGAUAACCUCUCUAUAAGACUGGGAUAACUUCGGGAAACCGGAGCUAAUACCGGAUAAUAUAUUGAACCGCAUGGCUUAAUAGUGAAAGACGGUUUUGCUGUCACUUAUAGAUGGAUCCGCGCCGCAUUAGCUAGUUGGUAAGGUAACGGCUUACCAAGGCAACGAUGCGUAGCCGACCUGAGAGGGUGAUCGGCCACACUAGAACUGAGACACGGUCCAAACGCCUACGGGAGGCAGCAGAAGGGAAUCAUGCGCGAUGGGCGAAAGCCUGACGGAGCAAAGCCGCGUAGGUGAUAGAGGUCUUCGGAGCGUAAAACUCUGUUAUUAGGGAAGAACAAAUGUGUAAGUAACUAUGCACGUCUUGACGGUACCUAAGAAGAAAGCCACGGCUAGCUACGUG